rnacentral:sRNA from 1 species
AUUUGGGUGAGGGAUGAUAGCGGAUAGCCCACAGACGCUGUAGUUUUUACGAAAGCGGCGAGGACUUGAAGCGAACAGCCCGACGCUAC